GAUGAACGCUGGCGAGAUGCUUUACACAUGCAAGCCGUACGAGAGUUUCUAACUCAAGUGGCGGACGGGUGAGUAACACGUAAGAAUUUACCUUUAGGAGGGGGACAACAACUGGAAACGGUUGCUAAUACCCCAUAUGCUUUCGAGUGAAAUGGAUUUUUCCGCCUAGAGAGAAGCUUGCGGCUGAUUAGCUUGUUGGUGAGGUAAUGGCUCACCAAGGCGACGAUCAGUAUCUGGUUUGAGAGGAUGAUCAGACACACUGGAACUGAGACACGGUCCAGACUCCUACGGGAGGCAGCAGUGGGGAAUUUUCCGCAAUGGGCGAAAGCCUGACGGAGCAAUCUCGCGUGAGGGAUGACGGCCUAUGGGUUGUAAACCUCUUUUUUCAGGGAGGAAUAAAUGACGUGUACCUGAAGAAUAAGCAUCGGCUAACUCCGUGCCAGCAGCCGCGGUAAG
rnacentral:rRNA from 1 species